UGGGGAAUAUUGGACAAUGGGGGGAACCCUGAUCCAGCCAUGCCGCGUGUGUGAAGAAGGCCUUAUGGUUGUAAAGCACUUUAAGCGAGGAGGAGGGUACUGGUAUUAAUACUACCAGCUACUGGACGUUACUCGCAGAAUAAGCACCGGCUAACUCUGUGCCAGCAGCCGCGGUAAUACAGAGGGUGCAAGCGUUAAUCGGAAUUACUGGGCGUAAAGCGCGCGUAGGGGGUUCGUUAAGUUGAAUGUGAAAGCCCCGGGCUCAACCUGGGAACUGCAUCCAAAACUGGCGAGCUAGAGUAGGGCAGAGGGUGGUGGAAUUUCCUGUGUAGCGGUGAAAUGCGUAGAUAUAGGAAGGAACACCAGUGGCGAAGGCGACCACCUGGGCUCAUACUGACACUGAGGUGCGAAAGCGUGGGGAGCAAACAGG
rnacentral:rRNA from 1 species